rnacentral:rRNA from 1 species
CCUACGGGGGGCAGCAGUGGGGAAUAUUGCGCAAUGGGCGAAAGCCUGACGCAGCAACGCCGUGUGAGGGAUGAAGGUUUUCGGAUCGUAAACCUCUGUCAGAAGGGAAGAAGUGGUGCGGGUCCAACAGGCCCGUAUCUUGACGGUACCUUCAAAGGAAGCACCGGCUAACUCCGUGCCAGCAGCCGCGGUAAUACGGAGGGUGCAAGCGUUAUUCGGAAUUACUGGGCGUAAAGCGCACGUAGGCGGCCUUGUAAGUCAGGUGUGAAAUCCCACGGCUCAACCGUGGAACUGCACUUGAAACUGCGGGGCUCGAAUCCUGGAGAGGGCGGCGGAAUUCCUGGUGUAGGAGUGAAAUCCGUAGAUAUCAGGAGGAACACCGGUGGCGAAGGCGGCCGCCUG